rnacentral:rRNA from 1 species
GUUCGGAAUUACUGGGCGUAAAGCGCAUGUAGGCGGACAUUUAAGUCAGGGGUGAAAUCCCGGGGCUCGAACCUCGGAGCUGCCUUUGAUACUGGGUGUCUAGAGUGUGGAAGAGGUAAGUGGAAUUCCGAGUGUAGAGGUGAAAUUCGUAGAUAUUCGGAGGAACACCAGUGGCGAAGGCGGCUUACUGGUCCAUUACUGACGCUGAGGUGCGAAAGCGUGGGGAGGC